rnacentral:lncRNA from 1 species
UUUAAUAAAUAAUCAAUAUUUAAAAUAAAGUUAAGAGUACAAUAUUAAUUACAAAAAUUGAGAUACAAAAUUUAUUUUUGAAUUGAUGUUGAUGUGAUUGCAGCUUAUAGUAGUACUGAGAAAUGACAUGUGUUUGGUUCAUAUUAUGUACCUUAUCUUUUUUUUUUGUUUUCAUCCCACAUGGUUAUUUUCCAAAAUGCAUAGCGUGUUUCAUUUUCUGAGCUAUAAAGAAAAGAAAAUAUCACUAGCAUCAGUACAUUUUACUAUGAAAUUAUAAACUACGACUUUGCAAUUUUCUCUUAAAAUUAUUAUACGGUCAGAUACUCCCUCUGAAAAACAAAAGAAUGAUUUGCAAAUAACUCCUCUAAAUUCUUUGAACUGAGCACGUGUCACACAAAUAUAUAAUCGAAAUGGGUUUUAUUUUUAUUAUUAUUAUUAUUAUUAAGGAGAGAUAGUGAAGUUUUGAAUUGUUUGCUUGUCUUGAAGGAUAUGGGUGUUGAGUAAGGUGAUGGAGUAAAGCAAUAGAUAAUAAUCCCAUUCUAUUAUUACAAGUUAGUGUCGCAGAGAAAUUACCAGUCUUCUUCCGUAUUAUUCGCAGUUUGAAUUUAUCCGUCUCUUCUGGCACGUGCUGGAUACUUUAAGAUUGGAGUCACCUUGUAAUAAAUUCGAAGUGCUUCCUCUGAUUUUGGCUUUUAAAUUGGUGGGUGCUUGGAUAUUUAUGAAGUUGCUUUCUUUUACCAAUACCUUCAGCUAGUACCCAAAAUUGUUAGGUUUUGACUCAUCUGCUCACUGUGCUAAUAAGAAUUAAUAAUCAUUAACACUCUUUUUUUUUUUUCUUUUUUUGCUUUUUUGGCCAUGCAUAUAAAGACGUAUUAACAUUAAAAAUAAUAAUUUAAAAGAUGG